CUGUAUUUUCUGUCUGCAAAAGGAGGACCUGCUCGGUCCUUGUGAGCUCAGCUGAAACCAGACAAUCCAGUCGUGCUUCAGGACCAGCGUAGCUUCCUGCUAAGGGUGCAUAUACUCAGUGCUCUCGAACACGUGCGCCAGGCUUCUAAACAACAUGUGGAAGGGAGGCAUGACAGCCAACUGGAAGCAGGCAGACGCUGGCCUGGUGUGGAGCCCUGGCUUGGAGACUAACCCACUGUGGACCGAGGUUGCUAAGAGACCACCUGUGCUGAGUGCACUUUGUUCUGGCCAGAGUUUACGGAGAGAACACCAAGGAGCAGGGCUACCUACCACUACCUGGGAUUAAGCCAGGUGAGAAACAGGUCUCGCCUCCCUCAUCAGUCCCCUCCAGCUCUCUGGUCUUUCCCACACUUCCUAUUUCAGACUCUUGCUGUUGUUGGAGGAAAGUGAAUUGCCCCUCGGAGCACAGAUUAAAGAAACACAAGCUGGAGGCCAUGAGAGCGGAGAAAAUCACUUUGCCAACCCAUGUAGUAUUCUCACCCCUUGUUUCUGAAACACAGGCAAAAGGAAUUGUUGAAUGUCAGGGAAAUUCUAGGUGUUUACUUUGCCGGUGACUGAUGUAUAAUUUGGGGCAUGCCAUUCCCUCCUCCGGGAAUGGAGCUAGUUAUUACAGAAAUUAACCAAGCUUCCUAAAAUGGGAGAAGACACCACCAUCUAAACCUCAUCUAUCAACCCUCUCUCUUACAACUCAACCUGCCUUUUUGGUUUUUGAGUGAAAGUAGCAAAAAAUAUUCUUCUACCCCAACAUUGCCCCUUUUAAAAAAGUAUUGGCACUCCUUUUAAGUUGAGCGUAUAAAAGGCACUUUGAUGCAAGUCUUUGAAAAUUGCUUGAUUUAUUUGACCUUGCAUUCCUGAAAAAGGAGUUCAGAAUGGUUCUAAACUCCCUACCUGACAGGCAUUUGGCAAAAUGUUCCAACAGUGUGCUACACAAAGCUCACAUUAAUACCUUUUUUUAAAAAGAUUUUAUUUAUUUAUUUAUUUUUAUUAUAAGAGAUAGAGACAGCCAGCGAGAGAGGGAACACAAGCAGGGGGAGUGGGAGAGGAAGAAGCAGGCUCAUAGUGGAGGAGCCUGAUGUGGGGCUCGAUCCCAUAACGCCGGGAUCACUCCCUGAGCCGAAGGCAGACGCUCAACCACUGUGCCACCCAGGCGCCCCACAUUAAUACCUUUUAAAAUUCCAUAAUACUUUUUGAAAUUCCUGCUAUUUGUAUAAGCUAUUUGAUUAACACAGAAAUGUGGAGAUUAAAUGUUUGAUAUCUUAUUAAGUGACUGAAAUAAUGAGAGAGGAUCUUGAGGAAAGAUCAAGACAAUGAAAAAGACCUUUUGUUGUUUAAUUAAAAAAAACAUUUUAUCACCUGCCUUUUUCCAUGUCUUCAAAUUCUCAUUUCCUGGUGAUGCUGCCCAUACAGAUUGGAAGAUGGCAAUUUCACUGAUGCCAAAAGAAAUGAUGGUAAAUGACUUUGUAGAUAAGAUUUCAUGAAUAAACUGACAAGAGAAUGGUCAUUCUGAUAGUUCCUUGAGCUGUUUCUUUUUCUUUUUCUUUUUUUCUUUCUUUAAGCUUUUAUUUAUUUAUUGUCAGAGAGAGAGCGAGUGUGAGUGCACAAACAGGGGGAGCGGUAGGUAGAGAGAGAGGGAGAGAAGCAGACUCCCCGCUGAGCAAGGCGCCUGAUGCGGGGCUCAAUCCCAGGACCCUGGGAUCAUGACCUGAGCUGAAGGCAGACGCUUAACCGACUGAGCCACCCAGGCUUCCCAAAAAAGAAGCUUUUUCUUUUUAGAAAGAAAGGCAUAUUUGACAUGUAGAAAAAUGUAUGAUUACGAUAUAAAGUGGUUAAAAUGAGUAGGUGGAAAAUAUUUUAAUUCAUUGGGGGAAAGGGUGUAUACAGGUGUGUACAGAUGUUCCCUCAUCACUAUUUCUUUAUGGUGCAAAUAUUCCAUUGAGUUUAAAGAAUUAGGAUUAUAAAUAUGUUUUUUUAAAGAUUUAUUUAUUUGAUAGAGAGAGAAAGAGAGAGUGCACGCGCACAAGCAGGGGGGGAACAGCAGAGGGAGAGGGAGAAGCAGGCUCCCCACUGAGCAAGGAGGCCAAUGCGGGACUAGAUCCCAGGACUCUGGGAUCAUGACCUGAGCUGAAGGCAGAUGCUUAACCAACUGAA
rnacentral:lncRNA from 1 species